rnacentral:rRNA from 1 species
GACGAACGCUGGCGGCGUGCUUAACACAUGCAAGUCGAACGAAGUGGCGAACGGGUGGGUAGUACGUGGGUAACCUGCCCUCCUUUUCUGGGUGAGCCUUGGAUACGGGGUCUAAUCCCGCAUAAAGCGGGUUGUGCUCGGGGCCUAUCAGCUGGUUGGUGGGGUGAUGGCCUACCAAGGGGGUGACGGGGAGCCGGCAUGAGAGGGUCACCGGGAACAGUGGGACUGGGAGACGGCCCAGACGCAGACGGGAGGAGGCAGUGGGGGAUAUUGCGCAAGAGGCGAAAGGCUGAUGCAGCGAGGGUGAGUGGGGGAUGGGGGCUUUCAGGUUGUAAACCUCUGUCGCUAACGAAGGGGUAGGUGGAGAAGAAGCGCCGGCUAACUACGUGCCAGCAGCCGCGGUAAUUC